UGAUUGAUUUUGGUCGCCAACGAGUGGCGGACGGGUGAGUAACACGUAGGUAACCUGCCCAGAAGCGGGGGACAACAUUUGGAAACAGAUGCUAAUACCGCAUAACAGCGUUGUUCGCAUGAACAACGCUUAAAAGAUGGCUUCUCGCUAUCACUUCUGGAUGGACCUGCGGUGCAUUAGCUUGUUGGUGGGGUAACGGCCUACCAAGGCGAUGAUGCAUAGCCGAGUUGAGAGACUGAUCGGCCACAAUGGGACUGAGACACGGCCCAUACUCCUACGGGAGGCAGCAGUAGGGAAUCUUCCACAAUGGGCGCAAGCCUGAUGGAGCAACACCGCGUGAGUGAAGAAGGGUUUCGGCUCGUAAAGCUCUGUUGUUAAAGAAGAACACGUAUGAGAGUAACUGUUCAUACGUUGACGGUAUUUAACCAGAAAGUCACGGCUAACUACGUGCCAGCAGCCGCGGUAAUACGUAGGUGGCAAGCGUUAUCCGGAUUUAUUGGGCGUAAAGAGAGUGCAGGCGGUUUUCUAAGUCUGAUGUGAAAGCCUUCGGCUUAACCGGAGAAGUGCAUCGGAAACUGGAUAACUUGAGUGCAGAAGAGGGUAGUGGAACUCCAUGUGUAGCGGUGGAAUGCGUAGAUAUAUGGAAGAACACCAGUGGCGAAGGCGGCUACCUGGUCUGCAACUGACGCUGAGACUCGAAAGCAUGGGUAGCGAACAGGAUUAGAUACCCUGGUAGUCCAUGCCGUAAACGAUGAGUGCUAGGUGUUGGAGGGUUUCCGCCCUUCAGUGCCGGAGCUAACGCAUUAAGCACUCCGCCUGGGGAGUACGACCGCAAGGUUGAAACUCAAAGGAAUUGACGGGGGCCCGCACAAGCGGUGGAGCAUGUGGUUUAAUUCGAAGCUACGCGAAGAACCUUACCAGGUCUUGACAUCUUGCGCCAACCCUAGAGAUAGGGCGUUUCCUUCGGGAACGCAAUGACAGGUGGUGCAUGGUCGUCGUCAGCUCGUGUCGUGAGAUGUUGGGUUAAGUCCCGCAACGAGCGCAACCCUUGUUACUAGUUGCCAGCAUUAAGUUGGGCACUCUAGUGAGACUGCCGGUGACAAACCGGAGGAAGGUGGGGACGACGUCAGAUCAUCAUGCCCCUUAUGACCUGGGCUACACACGUGCUACAAUGGACGGUACAACGAGUCGCGAACUCGCGAGGGCAAGCAAAUCUCUUAAAACCGUUCUCAGUUCGGACUGCAGGCUGCAACUCGCCUGCACGAAGUCGGAAUCGCUAGUAAUCGCGGAUCAGCAUGCCGCGGUGAAUACGUUCCCGGGCCUUGUACACACCGCCCGUCACACCAUGAGAGU
rnacentral:rRNA from 2 species